rnacentral:rRNA from 1 species
AACGAACGCUGGCGGCAGGCUUAACACAUGCAAGUCGAACGGGUGUAGCAAUACAUCAGUGGCAGACGGGUGAGUAACACGUGGGAACCUUCCUCGUUGUACGGAACAACUCAGGGAAACUUGAGCUAAUACCGUAUACGUCCGAGAGGAGAAAGAUUUAUCGCAAUGAGACGGGCCCGCGUCGGAUUAGCUAGUUGGUAGGGUAACGGCCUACCAAGGCGACGAUCCGUAGCUGAUCUGAGAGGAUGAUCAGCCACACUGGGACUGAGACACGGCCCAGACUCCUACGGGAGGCAGCAGUGGGGAAUCUUGGACAAUGGGCGCAAGCCUGAUCCAGCCAUGCCGCGUGAGUGAAGAAGGCCUUAGGGUUGUAAAGCUCUUUUGCCAGGGACGAUAAUGACGGUACCUGGAGAAUAAGCCCCGGCAAACUUUGUGCCAGCAGCCGCGGUAAUACGAAGGGGGUCUAGCGUUGUUCGGAUUUACUGGGCGUAAAGCGCACGUAGGCGGAUUGUUAAGUCAGGGGUGAAAUCCCGGAGCUNAACUCCGGAACUGCCUUGAUACUGGCAAUCUUGAGGCUGGAAGAGGUUAGUGGGAUUCCCCAGUGUAGAGGUGAAAUUCGUAGAUAUUGGGAAGAACACCAGUGGCGAAGGCGGCUAACUGGUCCAGAUCUGACGCUGAGGUGCG